AAUGGGGGCAACCCUGAUCCAGCCAUGCCGCGUGAGUGAUGAAGGCCUUCGGGUUGUAAAGCUCUUUUGGCGGGGACGAUGAUGACGGUACCCGCAAAAUAAGCCCCGGCUAACUUCGUGCCAGCAGCCGCGGUAAGACGAAGGGGGCUAGCGUUGUUCGGAAUUACUGGGCGUAAAGCGAGUGUAGGCGGUUAUCCAAGUCAGGUGUGAAAGCCUUGAGCUCAACUCAAGAAAUGCACUUGAUACUGGGUGACUAGAGGACCGGAGAGGAUAGUGGAAUUCCCAGUGUAGUGGUGAAAUACGUAGAGAUUGGGAAGAACACCAGUGGCGAAGGCGGCUAUCUGGACGGUUACUGACGCUAAGACUCGAAAGCGUGGGGAGCAAACAGGAUUAGAUACCCUGGUAGUCCACGCCGUAAACGAUGGGUGCUAGACGUUGGCGAGCUUGCUCGUCAGUGUCGCAGCUAACGCGUUAAGCACCCCGCCUGGGGAGUACGG
rnacentral:rRNA from 1 species